GAUGCGGUUUCACGCUUUAUCGGCAUAACGACGCUGAAUCCCUCUGGAUAAAGACUCGACACGUCAAUCGUUCGUUUACCAUUUAUCUGACAGUGUCAUUCCAAUCAUGCACGAGACCUGUCAAUGGCCCUCGUUCCAGAAGGAUUCGAAGCGAUUUUUAUCGGAUUGAUUGCUUCUGACAGGUCUCGCACUCGAUUGGAAUGACACAAUAAGAAAUAAGAUAGAGAUGGCGAGUCUUUAUCCAGAGGGAUUAAGCGUCUUUAGUGCUAUCGAGAGUAAUCUGGCCUGACUCGAUCUCGAAGACGUUCAAAUUGAAACAUCGAACGAAUACAGGUAACUACAUCCGAUCAACUGGAAUGCAGGAAUAAAAAUCGCACUGAAAAUUAAAACUGACAUUGGAACAUACACCACGUCCUGGUUGUCAUGGUGAUCACCAGUUGGUCAUUGAUCCUCUUGAUCCUUUAACUAGCUCUAUUUACCUGCUCAGUACUUGGGACGAUAUGCGAAUGUUGUGGAUGUGUUUUAGAUAGCGCUUUCGGUACCGAGAUUAACAUAAACAGUGAUUUUUAUCUCUGUAGUACUAUAUUGAAUGUAUAUGGGAGACGCAAAAGGAGCCUAAUUUAUUCUGGAGAUAUGGCGAUAGUCCUGCAUAUCGAACGCUACGCGACAUCUGGAGAUAACGUGCCAUGAAUUCCGUACUGCAGCUAUCUCGAGCUAAGACCUUGAGCAAUUUUUAAUGUACGUGUUUUAAGAAUAGGAUUUGGGUUAUUUACCCUCUGUAUUCGAUCAAAACAUUCUAAACAUUUGUGCUGUUGUCAGGAAUAGAACCCAGGUGAGCAGCGUACAAGGUAAUCAGCUUAUGUACAACGAAACACCUGUCCGCAAUUUGAAAAACCAUUCACCUCUUUUUGUUUCGGAUCAGUUUCGAAACGGCACAGUGAUAAUAGCAUCAGUGAUUCGCUGGAAAAAGGGACAGUAUGUGAAACAGAAUGCAGAAUAUAUGGACCGAUUUGUUAAUCCAAAUAUAACCAACCUAGUUACACUUUAUAGAGAAAUAUGCGGUGACGCCAUCUUGAACCAGCGGAACUGCAAUAUUCUUCAGCCAGCCGAGCCAAUCUACUUUUUUUAGAUUUUAACGAUGGAUUAAAAGGUUGCCAUUUUGUCUGCAUUUUUCUCCGCACAUCUCUCCCUGAAGGAUAACUAGACCAACCUACAUGGUGGAUUUUUUGUUAACGAAUAAAAACGAUACGAAUA